GACGAACGCUGGCGGCGUGCCUAAUACAUGCAAGUCGAACGCACAGUUUAUACCGUAGCUUGCUACACCAUAAACUGUGAGUUGCGAACGGGUGAGUAACGCGUAGGUAACCUGCCUGGUAGCGGGGGAUAACUAUUGGAAACGAUAGCUAAUACCGCAUAAUAUUGAUUAUUGCAUGAUAAUUGAUUGAAAGAUGCUAUUGCAUCACUACCAGAUGGACCUGCGUUGUAUUAGCUAGUAGGUGAGGUAACGGCUCACCUAGGCGACGAUACAUAGCCGACCUGAGAGGGUGAUCGGCCACACUGGGACUGAGACACGGCCCAGACUCCUACGGGAGGCAGCAGUAGGGAAUCUUCGGCAAUGGACGAAAGUCUGACUGAGCAACGCCGCGUGAGUGAAGAAGGUUUUCGGAUCGUAAAGCUCUGUUGUAAGAGAAGAACGGGUGUGAGAGUGGAAAGUUCACACUGUGACGGUAGCUUACCAGAAAGGGACGGCUAACUACGUG
rnacentral:rRNA from 1 species